UUUCGGAGUUUCACUCCCAACCCAUGUGAACAUACCUACUGUUGCUUCGGCGGGAUUGCCCCGGGCGCCUCGUGUGCCCCGGAUCAGGCGCCCGCCUAGGAAACUCAACUCUUGUUUUAUUUUGGAAUCUUCUGAGUAGUUUUUACAAAUAAAUAAAAACUUUCAACAACGGAUCUCUUGGUUCUGGCAUCGAUGAAGAACGCAGCGAAAUGCGAUAAGUAAUGUGAAUUGCAGAAUUCAGUGAAUCAUCGAAUCUUUGAACGCACAUUGCGCCCGCCAGUAUUCUGGCGGGCAUGCCUGUCUGAGCGUCAUUUCAACCCUCAUGCCCCUAGGGCGUGGUGUUGGGGAUCGGCCAAAGCCCGCGAGGGACGGCCGGCCCCUAAAUCUAGUGGCGGACCCGUCGUGGCCUCCCCUGCGAAGUAGUGAUAUUCCGCAUCGGAGAGCGACGAGCCCCUGCCGUUAAACCCCCAACUUUCCAAGGUUGACCUCAGAUCAGGUAGGAAUACCCGCUGAACUUAAGCAUAUCAAUAAGGCGGAGGAA
rnacentral:rRNA from 1 species